CUGGCGAAGGAGACGCCUCUCGGCGAGCGGCACUGAAAACACCUUGAUCGUCGCCAAGGCGGGUCGCGUGACGACUAGAGAAUCAGACUCCGAGUGGGAACUUCUGCUGUACCUUUCAGAGGGCCGAUAUGUGAAGUGGCUUCGCACUGAAGUACGUGGACAAUGGAAAAGCAUGAGUUGCGUGAGUCACUUUGGUUAAAUGCAUCAACAGGGCAACAAAACAAGAUCCAUGCAUCCCCUGUAGCUGCCUUUCCUGCGCAGGAUCACAAAGGGCAGAGGCUCACCUGGGAGCUACAGGAGUAACGCAGCAGGGGGCAACAACCCAUACCUGCAGCCAAUUUGGUAACCCCAAUUAACUUCGGCAUGUUUUUCUGACUGUUCGGAGGGGAGGAACCGGAGUACUCAAAGAAAACCAACAUGACGACAUGGGAAGAACACACAAACCCCAUACUCAUGGGGACAUUUCGGAGACUCAAACCCUGGUCCAAGAGACUGACCAAAAAUAUCAUCAGAAUCAGCGUGGGUACAGCGCCCCCCCCCACCCCGUACCAUCUCGCCAGACCCUCUGCGUCCUGUUGGUUGAGUGUGAGCAUGCGGACACAGCCCCCGACGCGAUGCGACAGGCCCCCGUACCAGGUGACAGGCAUGCCCCAAGCUACGGUAAAUCAAUAACGUUAAAAUAAACAGACAAACAAAUAAAGAAA